GCGUAGGGUUAGUCGGCCCCUAAGGCGAGGCAGAAAUGCGUAGUCGAUGGGAAAUGGAUUAAUACUCCCAUACUUUAUAUAACUGCGAUGGGAAGACGGAGAAGGUUAACGCAGCUUGGCGAUGGUUGUCCAGGUUCAAGCGUGUAGAGUAGGUUCUUAGGAAAAUCCGGGAACCUUAGAUUGAGUUCUAAGGCUCAAGGCGUGAUAACGACCCCUCUUUUGGGGGAAGUGCGUGAUACCAUGCUUCCAGGAAAAUCCUCUAAGCUUCAGGUUAUAUGAAACCGUACCCCAAACCGACACAGGUGGACGAGAUGAGAAUUCUAAGGCGCUUGAGAGAACUCGGGUGAAGGAACUAGGCAAAAUGACACCGUAACUUCGGGAGAAGGUGUGCUCUUAUUGGUGAUUUUAUUUGCUAAAUGAGCUAGUAAGAGUUGAAGAUACCAGGUGGCUCCGACUGUUUAUUAAAAACACAGCACUCUGCAAACACGUAAGUGGACGUAUAGGGUGUGACGCCUGCCCGGUGCUUGAAGGUUAAUUGAUGAGGUUAGGAUUCGUCCGAAGCUUUUGAUCGAAGCCCAAGUAAACGGCGGCCGUAACUAUAACGGUCCUAAGGUAGCGAAAUUCCUUGUCGGGUAAGUUCCGACCUGCACGAAUGGCGUAACGAGGGCUACACUGUCUCCACCCGAGACUCAGUGAAAUUGAAAUUGCUGUUAAGAUGCAGUAUACCCGCGGCCAGACGGAAAGACCCCGUGCACCUUUACUACAGUUUUGCAUUGAACUCUGAUCCUACCUGUGUAGGAUAGGUGGGAGGCUUUGAAACUUGAACGCUAGUUCAAGUGGAGCCAUACUUGAAAUACCACCCUGGCAUGGUUGGGGUUCUAACCUAGGUCCAUUAUCUGGACCGGGGACAAUGCAUGGUGGGUAGUUUGACUGGGGCGGUCUCCUCCCAAAAAGUAACGGAGGAGCGCAAAGGUACCCUCAGCACGGUCGGACAUCGUGCAAUGAGCGCAAAGGUAAAAGGGUGCUUGACUGCAAGACUGACACGUCGAGCAGGUAGGAAACUAGGUCUUAGUGAUCCGGUGGUUCUGAGUGGAAGGACCAUCGCUCAACGGAUAAAAGGUACGCCGGGGAUAACAGGCUGAUACCGCCCAAGAGUUCACAUCGACGGCGGUGUUUGGCACCUCGAUGUCGGCUCAUCACAUCCUGGGGCUGAAGCAGGUCCCAAGGGUAUGGCUGUUCGCCAUUUAAAGUGGUACGCGAGCUGGGUUUAGAACGUCGUGAGACAGUUCGGUCCCUAUCUACCGUGGGCGUUGGAGACUUGAAGGAAGCUGUUCUUAGUACGAGAGGACCGGAAUGGACACACCUCUGGUGUUUCGGUUGUGACGCCAGUCGCAUUGCCGAGUAGCUAUGUGUGGAAAGGAUAACCGCUGAAAGCAUCUAAGCGGGAAGCCCCUCCCAAGAUUAGGUCUCCCUGAGCGUUAAACGCUCCUUAAGAUCCCUCGAAGAUUACGAGGUUGAUAGGCAGGGUGUAGAAGCACGGCGACGUGUGAAGCUAACCUGUACUAAUUGAUCGUGAGGCUUGACCAU
rnacentral:rRNA from 1 species